UACAGAGGUCUCAAGCGUUGUUCGGAUUCAUUGGGCGUAAAGGGUGCGUAGGCGGCGCGGUAAGUCGGGUGUGAAAUCUCGGGGCUUAACUCCGAAACUGCAUUCGAUACUGCCGUGCUUGAGGACUGGAGAGGAGACUGGAAUUUACGGUGUAGCGGUGAAAUGCGUAGAUAUCGUAAGGAAGACCAGUGGCGAAGGCGGGUCUCUGGACAGUUCCUGA
rnacentral:rRNA from 1 species